rnacentral:rRNA from 1 species
UACGGAGGGUGCAAGCGUUAAUCGGAAUUACUGGGCGUAAAGCGCACGCAGGCGGUCUGUCAAGUCGGAUGUGAAAUCCCCGGGCUCAACCUGGGAACUGCAUUCGAAACUGGCAGGCUAGAGUCUUGUAGAGGGGGGUAGAAUUCCAGGUGUAGCGGUGAAAUGCGUAGAGAUCUGGAGGAAUACUGGUGGCGAAGGCGGCCCCCUGGACAAAGACUGACGCUCAGUUGCGAAAGCGUGGGGAGCAAACAGGAUUAGAUACCCUGGUAGUCCACGCCGUAAACGAUGUCGAUUUGGAGGUUGUGCCCUUGAGGCGUGGCUUCCGGAGCUAACGCGUUAAAUCGACCGCCUGGGGAGUACGGCCGCAAGGUUAAA